GACAGAGGUCCCGAGCGUUAGGCGGAAUCACUGGGCUUAAAGCGUGUGUAGGCGGAUCGUUAAGUGCCUUGUGAAAUCCCGCGGCUUAACCGUGGAACUGCUUGGCAUACUGGCGGUCUUGAGCCACCUAGGGGCAACCGGAACAAAUGGUGGAGCGGUGAAAUGCGUAGAUAUCAUUUGGAACGCUAAUGGUGAAAACAGGUUGCUGGGGGUGUGCUGACGCUGAGACACGAAAGCCAGGGGAGCGAACGGG
rnacentral:rRNA from 1 species